GAGGGUGUCACAAGACCUGCUAACUCUUACUUCUGGAACUAACCACCAGCUCCCU
rnacentral:tRNA from 1 species